GACGAACGCUGGCGGCGUGCCUAAUACAUGCAAGUCGAACGCAGUGGGGACGGGUGAGUAACACGUGGGUAACCUCCCAUCAGAGGGGAUAACACUUGGAAACAGGUGCUAAACCGAUACUGAUGGAUGGACCCGCGGUGCAUUAGCUAGUUGGUGAGGUAACGGCCCACCAAGGCCACGAUGCAUAGCCGAACUGAGGGGGUGAUCGGCGAAGCUGAGACUGAUACACGGCCAAGAAGCGUACGGGAGGCCGCAGUAGGGAAUAUGAGGCAAGGGACGAAAUUCUAACCGAUCACUGCCGCAGGAGAGAAGAAGGUUUUCGGAUGGUACAGCACGGUUAUUGGAGAAGCGGUAUCUAACCAGAAAGCCACGGCUAACUACGUGCCAGCAGACGCUGUAAUAC
rnacentral:rRNA from 1 species